CAGGAAGUAGUUUAGUAGAAUUCUGGCUUUGGGGGCCAGAGGCAGGAGUUAAACCCUUCUCUUCCUGA
rnacentral:tRNA from 2 species